GAAAACUUUGCCUGGGGUGAGUGCAAAUUUUCAGCUUUGUUACUUGUUCUUCACAUUUUGUUAUUGAUUUUGUUGCACAUUGUAGAUUAAAGUUGGUGGGAAUUUCAGCCAUUAUAGUUUCAUUUACUGAUCUCUGCAUCUUACUUAGAAAUAUUUAUUGACUAGUCUUUAAAAAUGGCUGUUUAUGACAAUUGCCAACCGUAGUUUAGCAGUGAGGUAGAGAGAAUUACUUGGGUAAAUGGAAUUAUUUCUGCAUUGUUUGAUACGUGGCCACAACUUAUUUAAUGUAUGACGUAAGCAUGAUGAAUUAGCAGCCUCACUAAUUGUCAAGUCAGUUAGUAAUUACAGAGUCAAUAAUGCUCUGAAAACAGUCUUUAAGUCUCUAAAUAUGAAGCAAGAAUUCAGUAAAGCUCUCACAAGAAUAUCUUAUUUACUCUUGCACCUAUUAA
rnacentral:misc_RNA from 1 species